GCCGGGCGUGGUGGCUCACGCCUGUAAUCCCAGCACUUUGGGAAGCCAAGGCAGGCAGAUCACCUGAGGUCAGGAGUUUGAAACCAGCCUGGCCAACAUAGCAAAACCCUGUCUCUCCUAAAUAUAGAAAAAUUAGCCAGGCGUGGUGGCGGGCACCUGUAAUCCCAGCUACUUGGGNNNNNNNNNNCCCAAGUAGCUGGGAUUACAGGUGCCCGCCACCACGCCUGGCUAAUUUUUCUAUAUUUAGGAGAGACAGGGUUUUGCUAUGUUGGCCAGGCUGGUUUCAAACUCCUGACCUCAGGUGAUCUGCCUGCCUU
rfam:Gorilla gorilla gorilla genomic chromosome, chr1, whole genome shotgun sequence